UACGUAGGGUGCAAGCGUUAAUCGGAAUUACUGGGCGUAAAGCGUGCGCAGGCGGUUGUGCAAGACAGAUGUGAAAUCCCCGGGCUCAACCUGGGAAUUGCAUUUGUGACUGCACGGCUAGGAGUGUGUCAGAGGGGGGUAGAAUUCCACGUGUAGCAGUGAAAUGCGUAGAGAUGUGGAGGAACACCCGAUGGCGAAGGCAGCCCCCUGGGCCAAUACUGACGCUCAUGCACGAAAGCGUGGGGGAGCAAACAGG
rnacentral:rRNA from 1 species